GAUGAACGCUAGCGGCAGGCUUAACACAUGCAAGUCGAGGGGCAACACGGGUAGCAAUACCUGGUGGCGACCGGCGCAAGGGUGCGUAACGCGUGAGCAACAUGCCCUAUACAGGGGGAUAAUCCAGGGAAACUUGGUCUAAUAUCCCAUAGUAUUUAGAGGUGGCAUCACCACUAAAUUAAAGCUUCGGUGGUAUAGGAUUGGCUCGCGUGACAUUAGCUGGAUGGUGGGGUAACGGCUCACCAUGGCGAUGAUGUCUAGGGGUUCUGAGAGGAAGACCCCCCAACUGGGACUGAGACACGGCCCAGACUCCUACGGGAGGCAGCAGUGAGGAAUAUUGGACAAUGGAUGGAAAUCUGAUCCAGCCAUGCCGCGUGCAGGAAGACGGCCCUAUGGGUUGUAAACUGCUUUUCCAGGGAGAGAACUUACGCACGUGUUGCGUGACUGACGGUACCCUGGGAAUAAGCAUCGGCUAACUCCGUGCC
rnacentral:rRNA from 1 species